rnacentral:rRNA from 1 species
UUCCGGUUGAUCCUGCCGGACCCGACUGCUAUCAGAAUAGGACUAAGCCAUGCGAGUUAACGUAGCAAUACGUGGCAUACGGCUCAGUAACACGUAGUCAACAUGCCCAGGGGACGUGGAUAACCUCGGGAAACUGAGGAUAAACCGCGAUAGGUCAUAAUGUCUGGAAUGAUUUAUGGCUCAAAUCUACAUGGCCCCUGGAUUGGACUGCGGCCGAUCAGGCUGUUGGUGAGGUAAUGGCCCACCAAACCUAAAACCGGUACGGGCUCUGAGAGGAGAAGCCCGGAGAUGGGCACUGAGACAAGGGCCCAGGCCCUAUGGGGCGCAGCAGGCGCGAAAACUCUGCAAUAAGCGAAAGCUUGACAGGGUUAUUCUGAGUGAUUUCCGCUAAGGAGAUCUUUUGGCACCUCUAAAAAUGGUGCAGAAUAAGGGGUGGGCAAGCCUGGUGUCAGCCGCCGCGGUAAUACCAGCACCCCGAGUGGUCGGGACGAUUAUUGGGCCUAAAGCAUCCGUAGCCGGUUCUACAAGUCUUCCGUUAAAUCCACCUGCUUAACAGUUGGGCUGCAGAGGAUACUAUAGAGCUAGGAGGCGGGAGAGGCAAGCGGUACUUAGUGGGUAGGGGUAAAAUCCGUUGAUCCACUGAAGACCACCAGUGGCGAAGGCGGCUUGCCAGAACGCGCUCGACGGUGAGGGAUGAAAGCUGGGGGAGCAAACCGGAUUAGAUACCCGGGUAGUCCCAGCUGUAAACGAUGCAGACUCGGUGAUGAAUAGGCUUCGUGCCUAUUCAGUGCCGCAGGGAAGCCGUUAAGUCUGCCGCCUGGGGAGUACGGUCGCAAGACUGAAACUUAAAGGAAUUGGCGGGGAGCACCACAAGGGUGAGCCUGCGUCAAUUGGAGUCAACGCCGGAA